rnacentral:rRNA from 1 species
AGUGAACGCUGGCGGUAGGCCUAACACAUGCAAGUCGAACGGCAGCACAGUAAGAGCUUGCUCUUACGGGUGGCGAGUGGCGGACGGGUGAGGAAUACAUCGGAAUCUACUUUUUUGUGGGGGAUAACGUAGGGAAACUUACGCUAAUACCGCAUACGACCUACGGGUGAAAGCAGGGGAUCUUCGGACCUUGCGCGAUUGAAUGAGCCGAUGUCGGAUUAGCUAGUUGGCGGGGUAAAGGCCCACCAAGGCGACGAUCCGUAGCUGGUCUGAGAGGAUGAUCAACCACACUGGAACUGAGACACGGUCCAGACUCCUACGGGAGGCAGCAGUGGGGAAUAUUGGACAAUGGGCGCAAGCCUGAUCCAGCCAUACCGCGUGGGUGAAGAAGGCCUUCGGGUUGUAAAGCCCUUUUGUUGGGAAAGAAAAGCAGCAGGUUAAUACCCCGCUGUUCUGACGGUACCCAAAGAAUAAGCACCGGCUAACUUCGUG